rnacentral:rRNA from 1 species
AUACGGAGGAUGCAAGCGUUAUCCGGAUUUAUUGGGUUUAAAGGGUGCGUAGGCUGUUCGACAAGUCAGGGGUGAAAGCCCAGUGCCUAACACUGGAACUGCCUUUGAUACUGCCGAGCUGGAAUACGGAUGCCGUGGGAGGAAUGAGUAGUGUAGCGGUGAAAUGCAUAGAUAUUACUCAGAACACCGAUUGCGAAGGCAUCUCGCGAAUCCGUCAUUGACGCUGAGGCACGAAAGCGUGGGGAUCAAACAGGAUUAGAUACCCUGGUAGUCCACGCAGUAAACGAUGAUAACUAACCGUCGGCGAUACACAGUCGGUGGCCAAGCGAAAGCGAUAAGUUAUCCACCUGGGGAGUACGUUCGCAAGAAUGAAACUCAAAUGAAUUGACGGGG